UGUAUGUAAACAUGUAUGUGUCUACACACAAACAUAUGCGUCGCAAUCUCAGCUGUGUUCCAAGGCAUUUUUAUGACGAGGCGACGCUGCAGCCACUGCCUGUGCCUCAUACAGUUAGGCUUAUGUAGAAUACAAUAUUCGGUUGCCGUUCAGACAUUUCGCAAUACACACAACAUACUCAUAUUGCCCGUGGUCGGAGCGGUGCAAAGAAUACGAAGCGUAAAGACGAAAGGAAAAAUCUGUGCAAAAGUGUUUUUCAAUUUAGAAAAUUUAUUAACAAAUUUACAAAAACUAAAUAAAAUAUUAAUUUCAAGUAUUUGGUGGACUUUGGAAAGUGCGAGGAAAGCAAAGGCGUGUGUGCAUGUUUGUGGUGUAAUGUGUCAGCAGUAGGACUUGCCUCGGUGCAGCUGUACCAGCCAGCCAUAGCAGUGCCAGCGUUUCGGUGACCCAGUCGCAAGCAUAUAAGGCCACAUUCUUCAACGGCAGUCAACGGGUUUAGAUAUUGACCUCUAUAUUGAUGUAUAUAUGAGUGCACUGCAUGUGCGUGUGUGUGCAAACAUUAAUGAUUAUUUUUUAUUUUCCAACGUCAAAGAUUUCAAAUGCUCAAAUAAAAUUUAUUUCGGUACAAGAAAAGAAUUGAAACACACACGAGCGCUGAAAAUCAAACAACAGCCAAUCCAACGACAUCCCACUGCCCGUUUGGGGAAAAAUCAAUAAUUUGAGAAAUAAAAGAGAACAACACAACUCUUCAGCCGUAAAAGUGUAUUAAAAAAUGAAAUGAAAUCAAGUGAAAGCAGAAGAAAAUAAAUAUUUAUAGAACAAGAAGCACGCAAAUUAUAUAAUUCAUAAGAAAAAGUUCGGAAAAGUGUGUGGGAGCGGCUGCAAAGGAUUCGCAUUUCAGGCCACAGCUGCUCGUCUAUAAAAGUGUGCUUCUUUCUCAUUGUUUGUGUGUGUGUGUGCGCGUGUCUGUGAGUGUGUGUUACACCAACAGCUAUAUAUUGCAAUCGAUAUACUCUACUUGGGGUGUAAUAACAAGCAAAACAACAACAACAUCGACAAACAUACAUUCGUGCACUGAACGUGCCAGUAGCUUUUCUACUUUUACACCUACGCAAUUUGGUAAAGCAGACGAAUAUAAGUGGACGUCGGGUAGUUUGGAGAAGUUUCUACAAAAAAAUAAUUACUUUUUCGAGAAUUUUAGAAAGUAAACAAAACAAAAGAGAAGAAAUUUUGUACUAAAACAACAACAAAGCUUCAACUACAACUAAUUUAACUGCCAAGCAACAAAAACCUAAAAAAAACACACACCACACACACCUUCCCGCGACGUCGUCACCACCAACAACAAAAAAAAAAAGCAGCCGAAAAAGCAGUCGAAAAAGUAGAGAAAGAAAAAUAAUAAUUUUCCCAGCUACAAAAUGGGCAAGAAAAAGGUGCCCAGUGAAGACCUCAUUGUACCGCCACAGGAUACACGUAUUUGUGGCACAAUUUGCGUUUGUCAAAUGACACUCGUACUCAGCUCGGUGGCGCUAGUGUAUCUAACGGUUGCCAUUUACAUGCCAUCAACGCGCGCCUUUAAGAGCGGCAUCGAUCCAACGCCCGUCAUGUGCACCACCACACGCGCCGUCAACAAGGACAAUUGCGAGUGGGGUUCGUGCGGCGAGUGGUGUCUGAGUAAGACGUCUGGCGCCUGCAUACAAAUCUAUGUGAAUCUCCGUACCAACGGCACAAAUCUCACUUUUCAGAAUUGCACGAAUUCGGCGAAUAAAACGUGCUAUGGCAUCGAUCAGGAUCGGGCGGAUAAGGCGCGUUGUAUAAAUGAUGAGUGUAAAAAUUUGACGGGCACAUUCAAUUGUACCGAGGGUCAAUGUUUGAAUAUCACCGAUGCGUUUGAGUGUGUGUUCAAGAACAGUGAUUCGCCGGUUAAGUGUUCGGGUCGGCGGGGGAAAAUCAAUUGUAUGGAUAUUAACGGUUUGUUUUCGUGUAAUCGCGGCACGUGUCGCAAGAUACGCACACCAUACAAUUGUGAUCGCCGCUGUGUGGACAUACCAACACGCAAUAAGAAUGUGGUGGUGUUGAGUGGUGAUAAAGUGUAUUUGUCGCAAUGUCAGAAUGCCAUAAAUGCAGAGACUAAAGAGGAAGUGUGGAACGAAUCGGCCGAUAAUGUGGUGAUGGCUUCGUGUUAUUUCAUAAAGAACACUUCGGAUCGCGUCGAGGCAUUGGACUGCAUUAACGGCUCGACGCUUGAGCAUAAUAUGCUAACGGAUCUUACGAAUUUCACUUACCUAAGUCAUUUGCACAUAUCGGUUUCGGUGCCCACACCGGAGAUUGCACCACCUGACUUUGAUUUGACCAUUUCAAAUGAGUCGAAGCUCAUGAUCAAUUUGGAGGGUUGUGUGAAUACGCUGAUGGAUGAAUGCAAAGAAUUCUUGAAGGAUUUCGGCCGUGAUGGCAGCGAUCACAAUGCACGUGCACGUUUCCCCUGCUUCUAUUCGCCAUCCAAGAAGGAUAUUGUUGUUGCGCGCUUCGACUUGGAGGUCACUUAUAGGCAAUUCGUCAUUGCCUCGGUAGUGCCUUCGGUGUUGUUCGUCGUCUCGUGCUUGGUACUGCUGCUCUGUCAGAAGACCGUAUAUGUGGGUGAUGAUGCAAAAAUGCGUUUCAAGGGUUGUGUGGACACGGAUACGAUAUUGGCGAAAAAUAAUAUAGGCUCACAAACCAAUUUGGGCGAUACUGGUGGAGGGGGCGGUGAUGAUGUUAUGGCACUAUGAGAUCCGUCACCAUACUUUCAGCUACAUCAACGUGGAUUGAGACCUGAAAGUUCGAAUAUUUAUCCACAUUUUUGAGCACUUGUGCUGUUGUUACGUACACACAUAAACAAGUAUAUUGUCUGCAUUCCUCUGCUCCAAGAAGACAGUCCCGUACAUCAGGCCGGUGUGUUUGCCAUGCAAUAAAGCAAAGGCAAACAUAACAACAACAACAACAACA